UCUUUUCGGCUGUGUUCCUUGCUGAACGGUCUCUUUCGGAUGUCCUGUGAGGGUCGGGAAAACAGGCAAAGAAGAGUGCGUGUCUGACCUGACCUGGAGGCUGCACUUCCUUCCACCAACUUUACAACCUUGAAACUUGGGGGCUAUUUCAGGGCAGCCAUUGAAACCUGAGGUAUUUCUACUUGAUAAGAAGCCUGAACAGCAUGCAAAACACUCAAGGUAAUUGUCUACAGUUCCUUCAGACAUCCGAUUACAGCUGUCAAACCUUAGAUUUUCAUCAUGUUUUACAAGUAAAACCCUCAUCCAAACCAAUGCAAUGUGAUUAAAGUAGGAUACAUUAAUACUAUUGCUUCCUUUUUUCUAGAUCUUUUAACUAUUAAAAUGCAACUAUUUCUGCAACCAAAGUCAUAUCACCCUGUUGGGAUCAGAAUAGUUAAGUUCUAUUGCUAUUUCUUCCUCAAUUCAACUAUAAAGCCAGGUUUUACUCAUCCUGGACUCACAUAAUGUGUUGUGUUAGCACUUAAGGGCAGGACUUCACAUUUAUGAGUAUUCAAUCUUAGGAUUUUUCAGCCUGUUGAGAUUUUUGAAUUGUC